GGGCGAUGUGCAGCGCUUGGCCGAGCCCCGGCGGCACCGCGGCCGCAGCAGCAGGAAAAGAAAAAGAAGAAAAGAAGAGCCAGGAGGAUAGGUUGUUCAGUUUACUACCGGAGACCUGACUGUGACAGACCACCAAGAAAACAAAAUGUUCAAAGAGAGUACAAGAAGACCUUCUGCAGCAUCUGCGAGUCUGUCCUUUUUUCUUCAGAGUUACGUAGGAUAACUUAGCCAGAACUUAUUGAUGUCUGCAUGUUCAGUGGACUCGGGAAUGGACUGGGAGAUGCAGAAACGUACUCUUUGGAAGAAACGGGAGAGGAGGCAUUUCAAAGAUCCUGCAGGUGACAAAGAUCUCAGCUGGUGUCACCAUAACACUUGGAAAAUAUCCUCAGGAUGCCGGGAACCAUUAAAGCAGUGCAGAUUAUCAGAAGAUAAACUUCCACUUCAGCUGCCACCACUACCAGAAGUGACCAAAAAGAAAUGUUUGGGAAAUGAAAGAUGAAGAAUCAAAGCAUUGACAUUCUGGGGAUAUUACAGAGCAAAUGCAAGGGUAUCUAGAGGUCAGUCAGAACCCAUUUGAAACAAAGCAGGCUGAUAAAUAAAAUAAAUAAAUCAUAUUCUGAAACAAACCAUCAGCUUUUAAAAGAUAAUUAAAGGACAAGUUAUCUGGUGUUCCUCCUGAGCUUGGAUUUAUUUUGUAAGUGGUAUCAUAGGUGAAGCUAUGACACAGUGAUUUAUCUAUGCUUUGAG